UCUGAUCAUUCUCCUCAUGGGCAACAUCAGCAGCAGCGGAGGCGGCGACGGUAGACGCCGCAGACAACAACGGCGGAGCAACACCCUUCCUUCUCCUUCUCCACCACCGCCACCUCCUCCUUCUCUUCCUCCACCGCCACCACCCAAUCGCAUCGUCUUCGCCGCCGCUACACCGUACCCAAACCCUAACUACCAGUAUCCAGGCUACUACCCUCCUCCUCCUCCGGGGCCUUACGACCAGCACCAUCACAUCCACUAUCCU
rnacentral:lncRNA from 1 species